rnacentral:rRNA from 1 species
AUACGUAGGGGGCGAGCGUUGUCCGGAAUGACUGGGCGUAAAGGGCGUGUAGGCGGCGGUGUAAGUCUGGAGUGAAAGUCCCGCAUUCAAUGUGGGAAUUGCUUUGGAUACUGCAGUGCUAGAGUGCGGAAGAGGUAAGUGGAAUUCCCAGUGUAGCGGUGAAAUGCGUAGAGAUUGGGAGGAACGCCAGUGGCGAAGGCGACUUACUGGGCCGUAACUGACGCUGAGGCGCGAAAGCGUGGGGAGCGAACAGGAUUAGAUACCCUGGUAGUCCACGCGGUAAACGAUGAAUGCUAGGUGUUGCGGGUAUCGACCCCUGCAGUGCCGGGGUAAACACAAUAAGCAUUCCGCCUGGGGAGUACGGCCGCAAGGUUGAAACUCAAAUGAAUUGACGGGG